UGAGACUCUGUGCGCGUGCUAUCAAUAAGCGGAGGAAAAGAAACUAACUAGGAUUCCCUCAGUAACGGCGAGUGAAGCGGGAAGAGCUCAAAUUUGAAAUCUUCAAGGUUCUACCUUGACGAAUUGUAGUUUAAAGAAGUGUUUUCUGUUGGAGUUUUGGUAAAAGUUCUUUGGAAUAGGACAUCAUAGAGGGUGAGAAUCCCGUAUUUGACCAUUAUUUCCAACUUUGUGAUACACUUUCAAAGAGUCGGAUUGUUUGGGAAUGCAGUCCAAAAUGGGUGGUAAAUUUCAUCUAAAGCUAAAUACUGGCGAGAGACCGAUAGCGAACAAGUACCGUGAGGGAAAGAUGAAAAGAACUUUGAAAAGAGAGUUAAACAGUACGUGAAAUUGUCAAAAGGGAAGCGUUUGACACCAGUGUUGUUUUCUCGAAAAUCAAUUAAAAAUGGUGGGAUUUUGUGUUGUAUUGACUUUAUCAGCUUUCUGCACUUUUUUUCCUAUCUUUUUUAAUGCACUUUUCGUUUAACAAGUCAACAUCAAUUUCUUUUGUUGUAAAAGAGUCAUUGGAAGGUGGCUUUCUUUUCGGAGAAAGUGUUUAUAGCCUUUGGCUUCUGCAAUCGGAGAGAUUGAGGUCUGCAGCGUAGAUCCUUCGGGGUUAGAUACAUUUGUGCUAAGUUAUAGCCUUUCAUAGACAACUUGUUGACUAUGAUCAGUCAUGUAGCUUACUCGCUUAUGCUAUUUUACCUACGCUUAGGAUGUUGAACUCUAUCACACACAG
rnacentral:rRNA from 1 species